GACUUAAAAGGAGAAAGAAAAAGAAAAAGAACAGGAGGCGGCCAUUCCCUGAGACCGAUAGACAGAUGGAGCCCAGGAGAUGGAGGUCACAGCCCUCUUCCCAGCCAGGCAGGAGCCGCCCACUCAUUUUGAAUUGGACCAAAGGGGUCCAGCCCACUGGCCUCAGGGGAAGAGGUGUCCCUGCACUACAGGAGAAUCUCCCCAAGGGCUCAGCCUGGAAACACCUGUCCAUCAACCAGAGGAUUUACACCAAACUUCAAAUCCAGCUUGUUAAAAAGUAGAGGACUGUCAACUCCCCAGGUAUGGAGCCCAGGCCCCUGAGGCAGGAAGAUGAGAAAACUGAGACACUGAAAGCUGGAAAGAGACAGAGACUGGACUCCAAUGGUGCUUUUCUGACUCUAUUCAUUACAAGCUGCUUCCUCAACACCAAACUUGGCAGAUGAGGUCCUUGCCUUGCAGGAGUAUCUUUGCACAUGUCUAGAUUUGGAGUCACAGAGACAUGGAUUGGAGUCCCAGCCACACUGCUUUACAAAUGUGAAUUAACAGAUCGAUUGACUUCUCUGGCCCUUGCUUUUUUCAUUGAUAAAACAUGCACAGUGGACUCUGCCUUCUAUUUCAUCAAGCCAUUGUCAGAAUCGACAUAAAGAUGAAACAAUGUAAACGUUUCCUAAUUCAGUGGAUGUAUCUGCUUUACCGUCUUUCUUAUUGCAUUAACAUUUAUGUAACAUGUUUGUCAUCCCUGCAGGUCUGGGAGUCCUUGAAACCGAAUGUAGUCCAGCCCUGCUCAUGUUCUCAGAGCUCCUCAGACAUAUAGAUGCCCUUUUCCUUGCGUCCCUAACUUCCCUCCUCUUGAGGGUCCCACUGAGAGGACAAGGCUAAGGCAGUAGAGAUAAGUUCUGGAGAAAUAGGAUAUGGAUGCAACCGAAAACUGUAGCUAGGAUUUCAAGGUCAAGAGAGCCAGCCCCCUGCCUCAGGCCUCACUGGUGCUGGCUGGUCAUUAACACAGCUCUGGGUUCUUCUUGGCCUUCAAAUGAAAAGACAUUUCAUGCCCAAGGACCACAGUAAUGAGGAACCAGGGAGGGGCUGGGCAGCCUGCAGCCUCAGCAAAAGCUUCCGCUCCUCAGAGGCCUACCCUCCUUCCUCCCCCCUCCUCCAUCCCUCUGAAGUCAGCGAAAAGUUUGAACAGCUUCUGGAAGAACGAGGUUCGGUUCGUUUGUCUUUGGAGCAGCCAGAGGGGUGAGGGACACUGGCAAGGCCUCUGCUCCCACCUCUCUACAAAGGCCAAACCAUCUUUACGUCAGAGAGGUCAUAGGGCCUGUGGGGACAGGGCCUGGAAGAUGGGGGCGUGGGGGCGAUGCUUUACCAUCCUUUACCUUCGUCUCCAGCCCUCUUUCCCUUCAAACUGGGGCUCUACCUGGUCAGGCCAGCACUACCAACUGCAACCUGCCAUUCCUGCCCUGGGCUACAAGUGACUUUGCUGAAUGCUGCAGACCUGUCUGAAUCUGUCUGGGGCAUUGCAGACUUACGACGACAUCCCUUCACGUAUUUACGAAGCAUUAGGCUUGAUGCUCUUUUCUCUUUUCUCUUUCUCUCCACCCUACCUCACCUGUUCGGUCUCCCUCCUGAGUGCUCUUGGAAACCUUCUUAACCAGCCCUUUUGCCCAACUUGUACAGUGUGCGCACACAAACACAUACGCCAGCUCACAGGUACAUGCAGACCCUCACCCUCAAAAACACAUGUAAAACUCCUGAACAUAGUACCUCAGUCUGUCCUCGAGGUCCUGAGUCCCCCUCUGCAGACAUGCAGCUGCGCUGUCUCCCACUGAAAAACGUGCACCCAGAGAAGCACAACCACACAGGUUGACAUGUUCAUACAGAAGGACGCACAAACACAAAUACACAACCAAUCAAAUGCCAAGCCAGUUUCUGAAGUUGAUGCUGCCAUCGAAUCUUCCAGAGAUUGUCAGGGAUCAGAGAAAUGCCUUCUUUUAUCCUUGGCGGGAAUUCUGUGUACAGAGCGUAAUAUAUGCUCAGGGUAUUUGGGGCUCCUACAAUUGUAUGACAGGAUUGGGAAAAACCACUCCCCAGAAGGUACCUGAGCUCUGAGUC